UUUUUCGAUUGGGGCUAUCCAAAAUAAUAUUUCAAUAUAUCUCACUCAGAUAAUCUUGGGGCAUCGUUCUUUAGGCGUUGUAUGUUAUCCUGAGGAGGUUGUUUUGCUUGCAAUGUAAGAAGCUUUAGCGUUUGUGUAACACAGUAAAUUUCGGUUUACAUGAUUCAGCCGGCAAGCCUGCAUACGAAUUCGGCAGAUCGCCAAAUCAGAUGCAUUUUAAAUAUGAAGCUUUCUUACACAAUUUUCGAAAUUUAGAAUUAGUGAGAGAUAUUAUUUAAGCUGCCGAUGAUGAAUGAGUUUCCAUACAUCUUCAUUUUUCUGCCUCGACGAGUUCCUUUGAAGGUUCUGGCUUCGGGUUCAUCAACUCUGCAGUCAAAAGUUCUACAAGUAAUGUAGAAGUGCAGUGCUAGCUGUAAUAGGAUAU